rnacentral:rRNA from 1 species
GAUGAACGCUGGCGGCGUGCCUAAUACAUGCAAGUCGAGCGAACAGACGAGGAGCUUGCUCCUCUGACGUUAGCGGCGGACGGGUGAGUAACACGUGGAUAACCUACCUAUAAGACUGGGAUAACUUCGGGAAACCGGAGCUAAUACCGGAUAAUAUAUUGAACCGCAUGGUUCAAUAGUGAAAGACGGUUUUGCUGUCACUUAUAGAUGGAUCCCGGCCGCAUUAGCUAGUUGGUAAGGUAACGGCUUACCAAGGCAACGAUGCGUAGCCGACCUGAGAGGGUGAUCGGCCACACGGGAACGGAGACACGGUCCAGACUCCUACGGGAGGCAGCAGUAGGGAACCGGCCGCAAUGGGCGAAAGCCUGACGGAGCAACGCCGCGUGAGUGAUGAAGGUCUUCGGAGCGUAAAACUCUGUUAUUAGGGAAGAACAAAUGUGUAAGUAACUAUGCACGUCUUGACGGUACCUAAUCAGAAAGCCACGGCUAACUACGUG